AAAUUCUAAUGGUCAGCUAGAACCAUUUGCCCGGCUAAAGGGUGAAGAUUAAUCUACAUCAAUAAUGAAUCUAGUUCUUCCUGGCAUGCCAUGAAGAGAUGGAAAAGAUUUGGCGUCGUAGCUCCAUUUGCUACUUUCUAAAAAAUUGUGAUCUCUGUAAAAGCUAUAAAACUAUUGGUAAUAAGAGGACCAAAUGUGGAGCGAAUGUUUGAGACUAGUCUGAAAACGUGCAGAAAUGAAGAGGAAAAACUGAAAUAAGAACUCCAGUCCUCAUUAUGCUGAAGAGUGACAGCAUGAGUGACAGAGGAGCGGCUGAUGUAGAAAUCCCUGCAGUAAGGGGGUAAGGAAGGCAAAACACCAGGUUGUGAGCAUCCUGCUGUUAGUACCCUUGAGCAUUAAUUCCUCUGUAAGCUUUGUCACUAACUGAAUUUCUUGUAUGACUCUGUUGUGGAUUUGCAUGAGAAAACAGGAGCUUCUAAUCCGCAGUAGAAUCUGAGGUAUCCCAUACUGAGAUGCUGUAUUUAUGGAAUGUAUAGAUGUGUAUAUGUAGAUAUAAAAGUAGAAUUUGUAGUGUCAGUUGUAGCUAUUGCCUUAAGGACUUUCUGCAAAGGCUGUUGCUUGGUAUUAUUUAUACUGUUAUUUGUAUUUUCUUUAUCUCACUUUAAAUUGUAACUGGAAAGUGCUGUCGUCGUUCAGCUAAUGAUUAUCGGUAACGCUUCAUUAAAAAAAAUCAUUAAAAAUCCCAAA